rnacentral:rRNA from 1 species
CGCGAUUCGCCCUUCGGGGCGCACCAGGCGCGAAAACUUCACAAUGGGAGAAAUCCCGAUGAGGGAAUUCCAAGUGCUAGCACUAUGUGUUAGCUGUUCUUUUGUCUAAAAAACAGAAGAAGUAAGGGCCGGGUAAGACGGGUGCCAGCCGCCGCGGUAAUACCCGCGGCCCGAGUGGUGGUCGAUAUUAUUGAGCCUAAAACGUCCGUAGCCGGUCUUGUAAAUCCUUGGGUAAAUCGGCCAGCUUAACUGUCCGAAGUCCGGGGAGACUGCAAGACUUGGGAUCGGGAGAGGUCAGAGGUACUUCUGGGGUAGGGGUAAAAUCCUGUAAUCCUGGAAGGACCACCGGUGGCGAAGGCGUCUGACUAGAACGAAUUCGACGGUGAGGGACGAAGCCCUGGGGCGCAAACGGGAUUAGAUACCCCGGUAGUCCAGGGUGUAAACGCUGCGGGCUUGGUGUUGGGGGUCCUUUGUGGGCGCCCAGUGCCGGAGAGAAGUUGUUAAGCCUGCUGCUUGGGGAGUACGUCCGCAAGGAUGAAACUUAAAGGAAUUGGCGGGGGAGCAC